rnacentral:piRNA from 1 species
UGGAGGUGAACCCCUCCAGCUGGCCUCCCAUU